rfam:Eutrema salsugineum unplaced genomic scaffold scaffold_12, whole genome shotgun sequence.
AAACCGUGGUGAGGACACUGAUUAGUGUAACUUCGAAACCGUUCCCAAGCUUCUCCAAAGCUUUUAUUUGUAUGCUGUGUGAAGCUUGAAAUCCGAUUUCUGAGCUU